GAUCUGGGUCUGGGGAUGUGGUACCGGCUGCUGGCGGCGGCCGGCAGUAGAGCGGUGGCCAGGCCGCUGGCCUUGCUGUGGCGAUGUGGUGGCCCAGGAGGCGGCAGGACGGCCAAGACCAGCGCGAGGGCCCUGGGCAAGGCCCGACAGGGUUUGAGAAAUACUUUAAGAGGAGUGGAAGGAACACAAACUGAGAAACAUCAACAGCACCAAAAAAAGAGACUGGUGAACUAGAGAAUGCUGAGUCUGGAGGAGACGGAGGCAGGAGAGGAGGGAAGCAGGAUAACGUUGCCUGGUGGAGGCGGAUGCAGAAGGGGGGACUUCCCCUGGGAUGACGAGGAUUUCCGCAGUCUGGCCCUUUUGGGGGCAGGCGUUGCCAUGGGAUUUUUCUACCUCUAUUUUCGAGAUCCUGGAAGAGAAAUCACGUGGAAGCACUUUGUACAGUAUUACCUGGCCAGAGGUCUGGUGGACCGGCUGGAAGUCGUGAACAAACAAUCUGUGCGUGUUAUUCCUGCCCCUGGGACCUCUUCUGAAGUGAGGGGUGAAUUUAAGGCUGAGUAUUGCAGACAUAAGUUUAUUUCGUACGUAGCUGGGUGCGAAGAAUCAAAUUGGAAAUUAUGGAAUUUGUGAAUUUCCUGAAGAAUCCCAAGCAGUAUCAGGACUUAGGAGCAAAAAUUCCAAAGGGAGCCAUGCUCACUGGUCCUCCUGGUACCGGCAAGACCCUUCUUGCCAAAGCAACUGCAGGGGAGGCCACUGUGCCCUUCAUCACUGUGAACGGGUCUGAGUUCCUGGAAAUGUUUAUUGGCGUUGGGCCAGCAAGGGGUUCAACUCUGCCACCAACGUCGUGGUGUUGGCUGGCACCAACCGCCCUGACGUCCUGGACCCGGCCCUCAUGCGGCCUGGCCGGUUUCAUCGCCAGAUUUACACUGGUCCCCCUUACAUUAAAGGCAGGUCCUCCAUCUUUAAGGUCCACCUGCGCCCACUGAAGCUGGACAAGAGCCUCAAUAAGGACACCCUGGCGAGGAAGCUGGCAGUGCUCACCCCAGGCUUCCCUGACGGGGAUGACUCAGCACUACCCCUCAACAGAGAUGACUUUGAUGACUCUGCCCCUCAGCAGGGCUUACUAAGCACUACCCCUUAACAGGGAUGACUCCGCACUGCCCCUCAACAGGGAUGACUCAGCAGAGAUGACUCAGCACUGUCCCUUAGCAGGGAUGACACAGCAAGGAUGACUCAGCACUGCCCCUCAGCAAGGAUGACUCAGCACUGCCGCUCAACAGACAUGACUCAGGGAUGGCUUAGUACUGCCCCUCAGCAGGGAUGACUCAGCACCGCCUCUCAACAGGGAUGACUCAGCAGGGAUGACUCAGCACCGCCCCUCAACAGGCAUGACUCUGCAGAGAUGACUCAGCACUGUCCCUUAGCAGGGAUGACACAGCAAGGAUGACUCAGCACUGCCCCUCAGCAAGGAUGACUCAGCACUGCCGCUCAACAGGGAUGACUCAGGGAUGGCUUAGUACUGCCCCUCAACAGGGAUGACUCAGCAGGGAUGACUCAGCACCGCCCCUCAACAGGCAUGACUCUGCAGAGAUGACUUAGUACUGCCCCUCAGCAGGGAUGACUCAGUACUGCCCCUCAGCAGGGAUGACUCAGCACUGCCCCUCAACAGGGAUGACUCAGCAGGGAUGACUCAGCACUGUCCCUUAGCAGUGAUGACACAGCAAGGAUGACUCAGCACUGCCCCUCAGCAAGGAUGACUCAGCACUGCCGCUCAACAGACAUGACUCAGGGAUGGCUUAGUACUGCCCCUCAGCAGGGAUGACUCAGCACCGCCCCUCAACAGGGAUGACUCAGCACUGCCCCUCAACAGGGAUGACUCAGCAGGGAUGACUCAGCAGUGUCCCUUAGCAGCGAUGACACAGCAAGGAUGACUCAGCACUGCCCCUCACCAAGGAUGACUCAGCACUGCCGCUCAACAGACAUGACUCAGGGAUGGCUUAGUACUGCCCCUCAGCAGGGAUGACUCAGCAGGGAUGACUCAGCACCACCCCUCAACAGGGAUGACUCAGCAGGGAUGACUCAGCACUGCCCCUCAACAGGGAUGACUGCAGGGAUGACUCAGCACUGCCCCUCAGCAGGGAUGACUCAGCACUGCCCCUCAGCAGGGAUGACUCAGCAGGGAUGACUCAGCACCGCCCCUCAACAGGCAUGACUCUGCAGAGAUGACUCAGCACUGCCCCUCAGCAGGGAUGGCUCAGCAGGGAUGACUCAGCAUUGCCCCUCAACAGGGAUGACUCAGCAGACUCAGCAGGGAUGACUCAGCACUGCCCCUCAACAGACAUGACUCAGCAGGGAUGACUCAGCACCGCCCCUCAGCAAGGAUGACUCAGCAGGGAUGAUUCAGCAGAGAUAACUCGGGGAUGACUCUGAUUGUCCUUCAGCAGGGAUGAGUCUGUUUUGCUCCGAUGGAAGCAUCUGUAGUGUCCAUCAGCAGGUGAAUGGCCAAAGUGGUAUAUACUGUAGUCACAUUCAGCUAUAAAAAGGAAUAAAGUAUCGAUGCAUGCCACAACAUGGGUGAACCUAGAAAAUACUGAUCUAAAUGCAAGAAGCCAGGCACAAAAGGCCACAUAGUAUAUGUUCCCAUUUAUGUGAAAUGUGCAGAAUAAUAAUAAAAAUGUAUAGAAUAGCAAAUCUGUAGGGACAGACAUGAGGUGAGUGGUUGCCAGAAGUGGAAAUGGGAGUUAACUAUAAAUUGCACAGGGUACCUUACAGAGAUGAUGGAAAUGUCCUAAAACUAGAUUAUGGCAAUAGUUGCACUACGUGAUCAGUUUAUUAAAAAUCGUUGAUGUGUGUGUGUAAAAUGGGUGGAUUUUAUGGUUUAUAAAUUAUACCUUAAUAAAGGUUAACAAAAAA
ensembl:lncRNA AFG3L1P AFG3 like matrix AAA peptidase subunit 1, pseudogene